AGCUGCAAGUCCUUUCUGUGCCCCUUGUUUCUUGUUUGUAGAAAAUAGGCUUUAUUCAACCUCCUUGACCUUCCCUGAGUUCCUAUCACCGCUCACAGAACUCAGAGAAACACUUUGCUUAUUACUACAAAGGAUAUUAUAAAGAAAUAGCUAGAUGAAGAGGUGCAUAGGGUGAGGUUUAGAAGGACCUCAGUGCAGAAGCUUCUAUCCCAGUGGAGUUUGGGGUGCACCAGCAUACAGACGCAUGGCUGUCUUCAUCAAUCUGGAAGGUCUCUGAACUCCAUUACUUAGAGGUUUUGUGAAGUUCUAUUAUUGAUACAUUGGGAUGCUUGAUUGAAUCAUAAGCCAAGGAGGUCAGAAAGAAAGAGAGUGAAGUUGCUCAGUCGUGUCUGACUAUUUGCUACCCCAUGGGCUGUAGCCCACCAGGCUCCUCCAUCCACGGGAUUUUCCAGGCAAGAAUACUGGAGUGGGUUGCUAUUUUUUUCUCCAUGGGAGGAGGUCAGGAUAGGGCCGAAAGUUUCAACCUUCUAAUUACCUGAUUUGGUUUAUCUGGCAACCAGUUUGUAUCUGAAGCUAUUUAAGGGCCCAACCAGAAUCACCUUGCUGCUGCUGCAUCCCUUCAGUUGUGUCUGACUCUGUGCCACCCCAUAGAUGGCAGCCCACCAGGCUCCCCUGUCCCUGGGAAAUCUCAGGCAAGAACACUGGAGUGGGUUGCCAUUUCCUUCUCCAAUGCAUGAAAGUGAAAAUUGAAAGUGAAGUCCCUCAGUCGUGUCUGACUCUUUGAGACCCCAUGGACUGUAGCCUACCAGGCUCCUCCAUCCAUGGGAUUUCCCAGGCAAGAGUACUGGAGUGGGGUGCCAUUGCCUUCUCCGAGAAUCACCUUGCUGCUGCUGCUGCUAAGUCGCUUCAGUCGUGUCUGACUCUGUGCGACCCCAUAGACAGCAGCCCACCAGGCUCCUCUGUCCAUGGGAUUCUCCAGAUCCAUCUACUUGCUUAUGUGAAUAAGGUUUUCAGCACUUACAUACGAUCUUAGUUUCCUGACCAGGGACUGAACCCAUGUCCCCUGCAGUGGAAGCCUGGAGUCUUAACCAUUGGACCACAAGGGAAGUCCCAUGUGUCCCAUCUUAGAAAUCAGCAAUACUCAUAAACAGCUAUAUGUACUGUUUAAAAAGAUAUAUCUUAUUAAAAGAUGUAUUUC
ensembl:lncRNA